CCCGACUCAAAGGGGUGCCCAACCAAACGGGCUGAGAUCAUACCCAUACAACCUGAUCCGGGUAAUGCCGGCGUAGGGAAAGAGAUCAAUUGACAC
rnacentral:ncRNA from 2 species